GACGAACGCUGGCGGCGUGCUUAACACAUGCAAGUCGAACGGAAAGGCCCUGCUUUUGUGGGGUGCUCGAGUGGCGAACGGGUGAGUAGCACGUGAGUAACCUGCCCUUGACUUUGGGAUAACUUCAGGAAACUGGGGCUAAUACCGGAUAGGAGCUCCUGCUGCAUGGUGGGGGUUGGAAAGUUUCGGCGGUUGGGGAUGGACUCGCGGCUUAUCAGCUUGAUGGUGGGGUAGUGGCUUACCAAGGCUUUGACGGGUAGCCGGCCUGAGAGGGUGACCGGCCACAUUGGGACUGAGAUACGGCCCAGACUCCUACGGGAGGCAGCAGUGGGGAAUAUUGCACAAUGGGCGGAAGCCUGAUGCAGCAACGCCGCGUGCGGGAUGACGGCCUUCGGGUUGUAAACCGCUUUCGCCUGUGACGAAGCGUGAGUGACGGUAAUGGGUAAAGAAGCACCGGCUAACUACGUG
rnacentral:rRNA from 1 species